CACGUAGGGGGCGAGCGUUGUUCGGAAUUACUGGGCGUAAAGGGCAUGUAGGCGGUUUUGUAAGCCUGACGUGAAAGGCUAUGGCUCAACCAUGGCACUGCGUUGGGAACUGCGAGACUUGAAUCAUGGAGGGGGAGCUGGAAUUCCAGGUGUAGGGGUGAAAUCUGUAGAUAUCUGGAAGAACACCAGUGGCGAAGGCGAGCUCCUGGCCAAUGAUUGACGCUGAGGUGCGAAAGUGUGGGGAUCAAACAGGAUUAGAGACCCUGGUAGUCCACACUGUCAACGAUGUGCACUAGGUGCUGGGGCGGACGCUUCAGUGCCGGAGCUAACGCGGUAAGUGCACCGCCUGGGGAGUAUGCUCGCAAGGGUGAA
rnacentral:rRNA from 1 species